GCCGGGUGUGGUGGGGUGCACCUGUAGUCCCAGCUACUCAGGAGGCUGAGGCAGGAGAAUCACUUGAACCCAGGAGGCGGAGGUUGCAGUGAGCCAAGAUCGUACCACCACACUCCAGCCUGGGUGACAGAGUGAGACUCUGCCUCAA
rnacentral:SRP_RNA from 1 species